rnacentral:rRNA from 1 species
UACAGAGGUCUCAAGCGUUGUUCGGAUUCAUUGGGCGUAAAGGGUGCGUAGGCGGCGCGGUAAGUCGGGUGUGAAAUCUCGGAGCUUAACUCCGAAACUGCAUUCGAUACUGCCGUGCUUGAGGACUGGAGAGGAGACUGGAAUUUACGGUGUAGCGGUGAAAUGCGCAGAUAUCAGGAGGAACACCGGUGGCGAAGGCGGAUCUCUGGGCCAUUACUGACGCUGAGGAGCGAAAGCGUGGGGAGCGAACAGG